AUUGAACGCUGGCGGUAUGCUUAACACAUGCAAGUCGAACGGUAGCAGGCCUUCGGGCGCUGACGAGUGGCGGACGGGUGAGUAACGCGUAGGAAUCUGCCUGAUAGUGGGGGACAACGUGGGGAAACUCACGCUAAUACCGCAUAUGCCCUACGGGGGAAAGCGGGGGCUCUUUGGACCUCGCGCUAUCAGAUGAGCCUGCGUUAGAUUAGCUAGUUGGUAGGGUAAAGGCCUACCAAGGCGACGAUCUAUAGCUGGUCUGAGAGGACGAUCAGCCACACUGGGACUGAGACACGGCCCAGACUCCUACGGGAGGCAGCAGUGGGGAAUAUUGGACAAUGGGCGCAAGCCUGAUCCAGCAAUACCGCGUGUGUGAAGAAGGCCUUAGGGUUGUAAAGCACUUUCAAUGGGGAGGAAAACCUGCCGGUCAAUACCCGGUAGCUUGACAUUACCUAUAGAAGAAGCACCGGCUAACUCCGUGCCAGCAGCCGCGGUAAUACGGAGGGUGCGAGCGUUAAUCGGAAUUACUGGGCGUAAAGCGUGCGUAGGCGGUUCGUUAAGUCAGAUGUGAAAGCCCCGGGCUUAACCUGGGAACGGCAUUUGAAACUGGCGGACUAGAGUUUAGUAGAGGGGAGUGGAAUUUCAGGUGUAGCGGUGAAAUGCGUAGAUAUCUGAAGGAACACCAGUGGCGAAGGCGACUCCCUGGACUAGGACUGACGCUGAGGUACGAAAGCGUGGGUAGCAAACAGGAUUAGAUACCCUGGUAGUCCACGCCGUAAACGAUGUCAACUAGCCGUUGGUCCUAUUUACAGGAUUAGUGGCGCAGCUAACGCAUUAAGUUGACCGCCUGGGGAGUACGGCCGCAAGGUUA
rnacentral:rRNA from 1 species